rnacentral:rRNA from 1 species
UUAGCGGCGGACGGGUGAGUAACACGUGGGUAAUCUGCCCUCAAGUGGGGAAUAACACAAAGAAAUUUGUGCUAAUACCGCAUAAUGUAUGCUGGUCGCAUGAUUGGCAUAAAAAAGAUUUAUUGCUUGAGGAUGAGCCCGCGGCCCAUUAGCUAGUUGGUGAGGUAAAGGCCCACCAAGGCAACGAUGGGUAGCCGACCUGAGAGGGUGAUCGGCCACAUUGGAACUGAGACACGGUCCAGACUCCUACGGGAGGCAGCAGUGGGGAAUAUUGCACAAUGGGGGAAACCCUGAUGCAGCAACGCCGCGUGAGCGACGAAGGCCUUCGGGUCGUAAAGCUCUGUCUUCGCUGACGAAUAAAUGACGGUAAGCGAGGAGGAAGCCACGGCUAACUACGUGCCAGCAGCCGCGGUAAUACGUAGGUGGCAAGCGUUGUCCGGAAUUAUUGGGCGUAAAGGGUGCGUAGGCGGUUUUUUAAGUGGGAUGUGAAAUACCUAGGCUUAACUUAGGAAUGGCAUUCCAAACUGGAAGACUAGAGUGCAGGAGAGGAAAGUGGAAUUCCCAGUGUAGCGGUGAAAUGCGUAGAGAUUGGGAGGAACACCAGUGGCGAAGGCGACUUUCUGGACUGUAACUGACGCUGA